CCUACGGGUGGCAGCAGUGAGGAAUAUUGGUCAAUGGACGAGAGUCUGAACCAGCCAAGUAGCGUGAAGGAUGACUGCCCUAUGGGUUGUAAACUUCUUUUAUAUGGGAAUAAAAUGUUCCACGUGUGGGAUUUUGUAUGUACCAUAAGAAUAAGGAUCGGCUAACUCCGUGCCAGCAGCCGCGGUAAUACGGAGGAUCCGAGCGUUAUCCGGAUUUAUUGGGUUUAAAGGGAGCGUAGGUGGAUUGUUAAGUCAGUUGUGAAAGUUUGCGGCUCAACCGUAGAAUUGCAGUUGAAACUGGCAGUCUUGAGUACAGUAGAGGUGGGCGGAAUUCGUGGUGUAGCGGUGAAAUGCUUAGAUAUCACGCAGAACUCCGAUUGCGAAGGCAGUUCACUGGACUGCAACUGACACUGAGGCUCGAAAGUGUGGGUAUCAAACAGGAUUAGAUACCCUAGUAGUC
rnacentral:rRNA from 1 species